GCAGCAUAACUUAGCUUGCUAAGUUGAUGGCGACCGGCGCACGGGUGAGUAACACGUAUCCACCUGCCGAUGACUCGGGGAUAGCCUUUCGAAAGAAAGAUUAAUACCCGAUGGCUCCGCAUGGUUAAAGAAUUUCGGUCAUCGAUGGGGAUGCGUUCCAUUAGGUUGUUGGCGGGGUAACGGCCCACCAAGCCUUCGAUGGAUAGGGGUUCUGAGAGGAAGGUCCCCCACAUUGGAACUGAGACACGGUCCAAACUCCUACGGGAGGCAGCAGUGAGGAAUAUUGGUCAAUGGACGAGAGUCUGAACCAGCCAAGUAGCGUGAAGGAUGACUGCCUAUGGGUUGUAAACUUCUUUUAUACGGGAAUAAGUGAGGCACGUGUGCCUUUUUGUAUGUACCGUAUGAAUAAGGAUCGGCUAACUCCGUGCCAGCAGCCGCGGUAAUACGGAGGAUCCGAGCGUUAUCCGGAUUUAUUGGGUUUAAAGGGAGCGUAGGCGGACGCUUAAGUCAGUUGUGAAGGUUUGCGGCUCAACCGUAAAAUUGCAGUUGAUACUGGGUGUCUUGAGUACAGUAGAGGCAGGCGGAAUUCGUGGUGUAGCGGUGAAAUGCUU
rnacentral:rRNA from 1 species